ACGGAGGAUCCGAGCGUUAUCCGGAUUUAUUGGGUUUAAAGGGUGCGUAGGUGGCUUUUUAAGUCAGGGGUGAAAGACGGUAGCUUAACUAUCGCAGUGCCUUUGAUACUGAAGAGCUUGAAUGGACUAGAGGUAGGCGGAAUGUGACAAGUAGCGGUGAAAUGCAUAGAUAUGUCACAGAACACCAAUUGCGAAGGCAGCUUACUAUGGUUUUAUUGACACUGAGGCACGAAAGCGUGGGGAUCAAACAGGAUUAGAUACCCUGGUAGUCCACGCCCUAAACGAUGAAUACUCGAUGUUGGCGAUAUACAGUCAGCGUCAAAGCGAAAGCGUUAAGUAUUCCACCUGGGGAGUACGCCCGCAAGGGUG
rnacentral:rRNA from 1 species